AAGUGUGAAGCAAUAAUGCAAUUAGUUUCGACCUAAUAAUAGGUGUUUAUUCACCCUCAUUUU
rnacentral:tRNA from 1 species